UAGAGUGAAGAAAAAGGAUGUUUAAGC
rnacentral:piRNA from 1 species